UACGUAGGUGGCAAGCGUUGUCCGGAUUUACUGGUCGUAAAGAGCGCGCAGGCGGUCGUUCAAGUCGCGUGUGAAAGCCCCCGGCUCAACUGGGGAGGGUCACGCGAUACUGAUCGACUCGAAGGCAGGAGAGGGAAGUGGAAUUCCCGGUGUAGUGGUGAAAUGCGUAGAUAUCGGGAGGAACACCAGUGGCGAAGGCGACUUCCUGGCCUGUUCUUGACGCUGAGGCGCGAAAGCUAGGGGAGCAAACGGG
rnacentral:rRNA from 1 species